UUCCUUUUUGUGCAUGUUCAUCGAGAGAGAAAGGGAGAAAGAAAAAAUAUGGUUUCAAAGGGGUUUCUUGAUUGAAGAUGAAGGGAUGAGAAAAGUGAACAAGAUGAUGUUUUAUAGUGGUUCAGCUCAUAGCCUACAUCCACUCUUCAAAGAUAUAAAGUUGAAGCCCUCCUGCAGAAGAUAGUUCAACAAAUCUCAACAAAAAACAACAAGGAACGAGACUAUUCUUAUUUCUUGUUUUUUGAAAAUAGAAACAAAAAACAUAGAUUUUUUUAAUAAUAAAUUUAUUAUUUAUUGUUUC